AUUGAACGCUGGCGGCAGGCCUAACACAUGCAAGUCGAACGAGUGGCGGACGGGUGAGUAAUUUCUGGGAAACUGCCUGAUGGAGGGGGAUAACUACUGGAACCGGUAGCUAAUACCGCAUACCAUCGGAUGUGCCCAGAUGGGAUUAGCUAGUCGGUGGGGUAAAGGCUCACCUAGGCGACGAUCCCUAGCUGGGCUGAGAGGAUGACCAGCAACACUGGAACUGAGACACGGGCCAGACUCCUACGGGAGGCAGAAGUGGGGAAUAUUGCACAAUGGGCGCAAGUCUGAUGCAGCCAUGCCGCGUGAAUGAAGAAGGCCUUCGGGUUGUAAAGUACUUUCAGCGGGGAGGCGGUACCCGAAGAAGAAGCAACGGCUAACUCCGUGCCAGCAGCCGCGGUAAUUC
rnacentral:rRNA from 1 species